rnacentral:rRNA from 1 species
GUUAGGAAUAUUGGACAAUGGGCGAAAGCCUGAUCCAGCCAUGUCGCGUGAACGAUGAAGGCCUUCGGGUUGUAAAGUUCUUUAGCCGAUGAUUAUAAUGACUGUAGUCGGAAAAUAAGCCCCGGCUAACUUCGUGCCAGCAGCCGCGGUAAUACGAAGGGGGCGAGCGUUAUUCGGAAUCACUGGGCGUAAAGCGUGCGUAGGCGGUUUUGUAAGUUAGGAGUGAAAGCCCAGGGCUCAACCUUGGAAUUGCUCUUAAAACUGCAAGGCUCGAAUCUCGGAGAGGAUAGCGGAAUUUCCAGUGUAGCAGUGAAAUGCGUAGAUAUUGGAAGGAACACCAGUGGCGUAAGCGGCUAUCUGGACGAGUAUUGACGCUGAGGCACGAAAGCGUGGGGAUCAAACAGGAUUAGAAACCCUUGUAGUCC